rnacentral:ncRNA from 1 species
UGUCUUCAGGGCGGGGUGCAAGUCCCCACUGGCGGUAAAGUCCGCGACCGGAUGCCAUAGGGUAUCCGCUGAUCCGGUGCAACUCCGGGACCAACAGUCACAGUCUGGAUGGAAGAAGAUG